rnacentral:rRNA from 1 species
AGAGUUUGAUCCUGGCUCAGAACGAACGCUGGCGGCGUGGCUAAGACAUGCAAGUCGAACGGACUAUACAAUUGAGUAAUCGAGCGUAUAGUUAGUGGCGAAAGGGUUAGUAAUAGAUAGGUAACGUACCUUGUGCUUCGGGAUAGCGUCAGAAAGCUUCGGCUUUCUUUCCGAAAGGGGCGGUAAUACCGGAUAAUAUCAUGUAUCGUAUGAUAUAUGCUCAAAGAUUUAUCGGCACUUGAGCGGCCUAUCUCCUAUCAGCUAGUUGGUGAGGUAAUGGCUCACCAAGGCGAUGACGGGUAGCGGGACUGAGAGGUUGACCCGCAACAUCGGGACUGAGACACUGCCCGGACCUCCACGGAGGGCUGCAGUAACGAAUAUUGCGCAAUGGGCGAAAGCCUGACGCAGCGACGCCGCGUGUAGGAGGAAGUCUCUCGGGAUGUAAACUACUGUCAGGGGUAAGAAAGUGCGUUUCGGCGCAUUGAUCUAACCCAAAGGAAGUCACGGCUAACCUCGUGCCAGCAGCCGCGGUAAGACGAAGGUGGCUAGCGUUGUUCGGUGUCACUGGGCUUAAAGCGUAUGUAGGCGGAAAAGUAAGCGUUUUGUGAAAUCCCUCGGCUCAACCGAGGAAUUGCUUGACGAACUGCUUUUCUUGAGGCAAGUAGGGGUGCAUGGAACUCUUGGUGGAGCGGUGGAAUGCGUAGAUAUCAAGAGGAACGCCAAUGGAGAAAUCAGUGCACUGGGCUUGUCCUGACGCUCAGAUACGAAAGCGUGGGGAGCGAACGGGAUUAGAUACCCCG